rnacentral:lncRNA from 1 species
AAUCGCUGUGAGCACGGCGACCCAACGGCGGCGGGGCUGCGAAGGAGGCAGAGGGACAGGCGAGGGGCGGGUGGGAGGCAGGGAGGAGGGAAGAGGAAGGGGAGAGUCGGCGGUCGGAGCGGGGUGACGAGGACCUCAUGCACGAGGCGGCGAAGGACCGAUGGCAGAGAACCGAGUGCGGCGCGAGGCGGUGGCCGCGGCCAGCGGGUGGGUGCGUCUGGGCGCAGGCGGGCACCGGGGCCCAGGGUCUGGUCCUCCUCCUUGUGGCGGGUCCAGGGCGCGGCCGCCUCGCCCAGCCCCUAGGCGCACUCGUCCCGGCGCGGAGGCGGCGGCGACAAGGCAGUCGCUGGGUGCCGCGUCUGCCGGCGGAGACGCAGACCGACGCGCAAGAGGCGACCGCGGCUGCCUCGGCUCCCAGCUCUGUUAACUGCGCGGAGUACUUUCGACUUUGGAGAUAGGAGGGCGAUCGCCUCCCCCACCCACCGCCUCCGCCCACCACCCACCGCCUCCGCCCCUCCGAGCAACUUUUCCCGGUGCCUGCGAGCUCCCCCUCCGCGCCGAGCCGAACGUCCCGGCCCGCCGCGCUUCGUGCCGCCGCGCGCGCAGGGAAGGCCGCUUCUCCUUCAAAGCUGGCACGGCCGCGAGUCCGGAACAAUAGUCGGGGUGUCCCGAAUGCCAGGAGCACGGCCACUGCCCGCCGGGCUGUGGGUGGCACAGGAAUGGGGGUUGCGUGGUGGAUGCAGAGCGGGGUGCAUCCCUGGAUGGCAUCGCUGGAGCGCUCGCCGCUCCGGCGACAUCGCGAGCGGUGCAAACCGGGCCGCCUGGAGCCCGUGACGCGGUGGCGGCGAGGGCGGUGGGGCUGCCUGUCCUCGGGCUACAGGACUGGGGCUCCUGGGGACCCCAAGCUGCUCGAGCCCAGGGCUGCUGGCGCCAACAGAGCUGUGCCCUGAGGACCCGGCCUCCCCGCCCGGGGGGAGGCCGCACAGGAGCGUCCCCAGCAGGUCCCGCGAAGGCGUAACAGAGCCACAAACUUUUGCCGACUCCCGCGGCCGCGGCCGCCGGCAGCCCGACUCCGGCCGCGGUGCUCAUUUAAGGUGGCGCGGGCACUAGCCGAGCAGGCUGGCCUCUGGCCGCGCUUUUGUCCCUGCGAUUCCGCUUGGGCGCGCUGCCUCCUUAAGGAAAAGCACGUGGGCAGGGGCCGCAGCCCCCGCGAGAUACCCGGGGCGUCGGCGGACAUUAGCCGCUAGGACCUUAGGCGAGAAAAUGUGGACGCAUCCCCGCCGGCCCUGAGGCCAGAGAAUCCCCCCUCAACUGGUUGCACCUCAUGUCCCUCCCGCACACGUUGACUCUCCCUCCUAAUCCCCAGGACCCCGAGGGCUCUCCCACAUCUCCCGCAGCAAGAGCCACCGAUCCCCCUUAAGAAGCGUUGACUGUACGGCGGCGCCAGAGGGCCAAACUAAGUUCGGUUUCGGGAAACGCUCUCGGGAGCAGUUCUGUAAAUCCCUGCUGGGAGCAGAGACUGCGAAAAGCUGAGUCCGCCGAUCGUGCCCGGGACAAGGCUGCCUUCCACUCGCCCUCGCCGCAUCUACCUGGUAGGCGGCAUGCGCACGGGCUUAGAGGCUUGAGAGCCUCUGGAAGAGAAAGGGUCCCAGGAAGGAAACCUGCCCCCGGCCUAAGUGUCGGCGCCCAGAUCACCACGAACCCCGCACCUAGGCGCCGCCCACCAAGUUCCAAAGAAGUCCGAGGCGACCUGGGAGUCGGUCGGAUCCCAGCCGAGAAAAGAAACAAGCAGGAUAGCAAUUCUUAGGGGAGCCACCCUGGGAGUUUUAGGCAGCGUUUGCCUUUCCCUGGUUUUCUUCACCAAGCCCCAUCCUCCCCCCGCAUACCACCCCCAGUCAAAAGAGUGGGAGAAAAUGCACAGUUCGAAGUCGGUGAGAGCAAAAAUGGGUCUAGUAAAUCAACCCGUGGUGGUAGCUAAAAGGUUUGGGGCUGCAAAGAAACAAACUGUAAGUUUUGAGCAACAAACUUUUUCUUCAAUCUGUAAUAUGUCGAAAUGGGAAGGGGGUGUUGCAAAAGCCAACUACCACUGUCAAACUUAGCCCGUUUACAACAUGGGGAAAGGCGUAUUUCUUACUAAUAUCUCAACAACGAUAACAAUGCUGUAUCCUUCCUUACCUUGAUGUUGAACUGCGAAUCCUCCUCCGGAUCAAUGUCCAGGAACUUAGAAGAAUUGGUGAUAUUAGGAGUUCAGUACUUCUGGAAAAAAAUGCAAAUGGUUUAGCCAGGAUCUUUCCUGUCUGAUUCGUCACUAUUAUUAUAUCUGAUGAUGCGAAUGGUUGGAGCGAUUCAAUCCUAAGUCAUUAAUGAGCUAUUUUAUAAACACCACUGUCUGAAGAUCUUCAUUUACAUUUUGCUAAGGAUCACUUCGCUAACCUCACAGGCUUGUGUCAACAGCAUGAUUUGCAGGACUUCAGUUACACUCUUAUAAACAACACGGCUGUAUUGUUAAUCGGUUAAUAUUUUAUAAAGUGUAAAUAUUUUAUUAUGUUUUGAAGGGAACUAUUGAUUCUAAAUUAUUAAACCCCUGAGAAGGACUAUUUAAAUGAAAUAUACAAUUAAGUACAAUUAAAUGUACAUUGUGGUUAGUUUGUUUUCAGAUUCUGCACCCUUUUAAAUUCAUUGCUUUUCUCUUUACUGGAGUUUCCUCUUGUCCAUUUCUGAUACUGAAAAAAAUCUAUCAUGUUAGGAAAAAGCCUAAAUUAUUUAAAGUUGCAUUAAACUUAGAGGAAAAUGUCAAAUACGAUUAAUUAUGACCAGAAAUGUAUUUUGGAUGUUUGUAGAGUUGUAUUUCAUAUCACAUUUUACAAAUUUCUUCCGAUUUAAAGGAGAGUUCUAGGAAGUUUUGUGAUCUAUGUCCGGUGUGGGUUUUUGUCCUCUCGAGUUUUGUCUCUAAUAAAGGCCUUUUUUGUUUCAAAU